rnacentral:rRNA from 1 species
GAUGAACGCUGGCGGCGUGCUUAACACAUGCAAGUCGAACGGAAAGGCCCUGCGUUUGUGGGGUGCUCGUUUGGCGAACGGGGGAGUAACACGCGAGUAACCCGCCCUUAACUUUCGGAUAACUUUUGGGGACUCGGGCGCUUACCGGAUAGGAGCUCCUGCUGCACGGGGGGGGAUGGUAAGUGUCGGCGGUGGGGGAUCGACUAGCUGCUUAUCAGCUUGAUGGUGGGGUAGUGGCUUACCAAGGCUUUGACGGGUAGGCGGCCUGAGAGGGUGACCGGCCACAUUGGGACUGAGGGACGGCCCAGACUGCUACGGGAGGCAGCAGUGGGGAAUAUUGCGCAAUGGGCGGAAGCCUGAUGCAGCAACGCCGCGUGCGGGAUGACGGCCUUCGGGUUGUAAACCGCUUUCGCAUGUGACGAAGCGUGCGUGACGGUAAUGGGUAAAGAAGCACCGGCUAACUACGUG